rnacentral:lncRNA from 1 species
UGGAGAUCAUGGUGAAUUAGAAAGAACAAAAUAACUUUGGCUGCAUCUUGCUACUAUGAAAAUGAUGGUGGCUGGAGAUCAUGGUGAAUUAGGAAGAACAAAACAACCUUGAUUGCGUCUUGCUACUAUGAAAAUGAUGGUGGCUGGAGAUCAUGGUGAAUUAGGAAGAACAAAACAAGCUUCUAAACUCGGCCCUUUUUUCAAGCAAUAAUUUCUUUCAAAUUCCUGCCAAAUUUGAUUCACACCACAUCAUGCUUCUACGCACGUGAGCAAAAUCAUCAAUUUGGCUCUUGGAUCCAUAUAUGGCAUGUGAUCAUCUAUUUCUUCAUGAUGGUGCACAUCAGCUUGGCUAGAAAAAAAUGGGAGGAGGGGUAGAGUAGGAAAGGAGAGGAUAGAGACAAAGAAACAAAAAAGAGAG